GUUCCUCCUCCUCCUUUCUAAUGCUAUCGACCAAUCCUGCUGCUCCCUGUUGACCAAGCAUCCAAAUGUAGAGCUGUGGGGGCCAUUCUCAUCCAAACCACAGAGUGACCGACCUAAUGCACAGUAAUGCCUCUUGUUUGUCCUGCUUUCCUUAGUUUACUGCUGCUGAGGUCUUAGGGGAACUUUGAAUGCGGACAUUUUGAGAACUCCGUUAACUGUCAAGACCAUGGGAAUUCCUGGAGAUAGAUUAAAUACCUUUGGGAUCAUCAGAUGGUCAUUAUGAAGGCUCACUCUCAGGCGCUGUGAAUGAAUCCGUACAGCUACACUGGAACGGAGGAGAUAACAUUACCUUAUACAACACUAUCUCCAUCUUUGCAGGAAAAUGCUUUGGAAUAGUGAAAGCAUGACCACAGUAACAGCUGGACCAAACUGGUGUGCCUCUCUUGAGUGAAAAUGGCAGGCUCACAGAAGGAAAGAUAAGGAUUUGUAUGGGAAAGGUACAUGGGUACGCUGGGGAUUAUCCAGUGUGUCUGCUAUCCUUGAGCUAAAGGCCUCCUAUAAUUUAUUAGUUGUAGCAGUUGAAAACAUGGACACUGGAGGGAGCACUGCCUGAUUGUAGUGAAAUCUAAGUUACAAACAACUAAGUCUAAGUUAGAAACGACUCCUCUCAUGGACAGAGAUGAGAAAGAAAUGUUGGAAAAAUUUCCUCCUGGUGUCCCGACUAACGAGGAUGCUUAGAGCCAUCACUCUGCUGUACUUACUGCAGGACGGUACCCGAGAAACCCCACUUCCAGCUCCAUGCAAGCUGGAGUCAAAGCUCUGACUGCUCCUCACUGUCACAGGAGAGCUGAGGUUGCUGCUGACCGCAGCGGUGCUCGGCAUCCGGGCCAGAUUAGGCAUGCUUCUUCUUAGCUUAUCUAAAAGAAGAAAGGAUUUUCCUAAAUUAAAAACCACAAGUAAAUUGAAUGCCAAUAGAAACAUUUGCUUUCAAAGUAAAUAAAUAAAAAGGCAAUUUGUUCAAGGACACAGAAACAACAACAUGUCCAUUACAAAAAGACUAAGGAAGAACCAAUCUCUUAUAUGGGCAAUGGACACUCUAGAAUAUUCCAACUGAUACAUUGUUGACAAGAGAAAACACACAUUCUAUGGCAAAGAAAAAAACAAUUCUACUUUUUUGUUACUGCUCAGUAAGUGAAUUAACAUAAAGUUAGAAAAUAACCCUGCAACUAUUUACAAAUAAAAACACU